AGAGAAGCAUUGUAGCAGAAACUCAGGUGU
rnacentral:piRNA from 1 species